UGAGAUUUGAGGAGGACAAACAUUCAAAGC
rnacentral:piRNA from 1 species